UUUUCUACAAAUCGGAAUGAUCUGAAAUUUGGAGUGUGCAUUCAUCAAAAAUAGGCGAAUCUACAAAAAAUAUCAAAAAAAUAUUUUACAUGAAAUAAAUUGACCAAAAUACCCCCUAAAAGUUUCAGGGGUAUUUUGAUCAAUUUGUUUUUUGCGAAUUAUUUUUUUAUAUUUUUAUUAGGUGUGCCUCACUAAGAUGUACACACGCUCCAAAUUUCAGAUCAUUCUGAUUUGUAUAAAA
rnacentral:pre_miRNA from 1 species